rnacentral:rRNA from 1 species
UAAUGGAGUUGUUCCAUGAUUUAUUAAGAGAUUGUUAAAGGAUUUGGGGAGUGGGUAAGUUUGAUUCUUGCUAAAUCAUUGAUUGGUAAUAUAUUUUAUAUGUGUGGGUUUCUUGAUGAUUAUUUUGCAAUAUUUAGAAUUGAAUAUUAAGGUGUCUUAGAUUUGGUAAUAUUUUACAUGAUCGGCUAAUUUUGUGCCAGCAGCCGCGGUUAUACAUUAGAUGUUAAUCAAUGUUAAUCUUUAUUGCAGUUUUUGGUUUCUAUUUUUUGUUCUUGUUUUUAGGUGAAAUUUUAAUUUUUGUUUUUAUUAAAUUUAUGUAGGCUGUGAAGUUCUUUUUAUUAAACUAGGAUUAGAUACCCUAUUAUAUGGAAUGUAAAUUUUUAUUUUGAGUAGUAAUAGUUAGGUUCUUGAAACUUAAAGAAUUUGGCGGUAUUUCAGUCCAUUCAGAGGAAUCUGUCUUGUAAUCGAUAAUCCGCGUUUUACCUUACUUUGACUAUUUUUGUAUACCUCCGUUUUUGAGGAUUUUUUUAGAAUAUUAAUUUUCUUUAUUUUUUUUAAAAAUUUAUUUCAGGUCAAGGUGCAGAUUAUGUUUAAGUGUUGAUGGAUUACAUUGUUUUUUAUUUUUUUUGGAUUUUUUUUGAAAUAUUAAAUGAAACUGGAUUUGAUUGUAAUUUUUUUUAGGUUGUUAUUUUGAAAAGGUUCUGGAAUAUGUACAUAUCGCCCGUCACUCUCGCUAUUUUGUGAGAAAAGUCGUAACAUAGUGGUCGUACCGGAAGGUGUGGCUGGGAUGU